CAAGUGUAUCACUGGCCUGCGGGAACUCUCUCUCUCUCUCUCUCUCUCUCACACACAAAACACGCACUAAAGCACGCAUUGUUGAUCAGAGCGGAAAAGCCCUAGGUGUUGGAGCAUUUUGAGUUUUUUUUUUAUUCCGUCAAAUCACACACACUCACUCACAGACACAGAGGUAUAUCGGCUGAGGAAGCGGUGGCGGUGGUGGUGGCGUCGGCGGUGGAAAUUUUGGUAAGGAGAGGAGGAGGUGCUGUAUGUCAGUAGAUUAUUGUUAUAGACAUUUUUGCGGUGGAUUUGGAUUGGGAGAGUUAGCGAAUCAGUUACAAUGGCCGCAGUUACGCAAAAGGCGACGCCUCCGUCUCCGACUUCCUCCGUGGCCGCCGGUGCUUCCUCCGUCCUCGUUCGCCGGGAGGCCGCAGCCGUAGCCUCGGCGUUGCAGGACUGGAAUGAUGAUCAUACGGGGAAGAAACAGGUGGCAUCUGUGGUUCGCUCUGAGCCGGCGUCAAAUGCCUCCAACAAAGGGAUUCAGCUUUUGCAAAGGGCUCAAACCUGCCAUCCUUUGGAUCCUUUAACUGCUGCAGAGAUCUCUGUGGCUGUAGCAACCGUCCGUGCUGCUGGUGCAACCCCUGAGGUUAGAGAUGGUAUGCGAUUUAUUGAAGUUGUACUGUUGGAACCAGAAAAAAAUGUUGUUGCACUGGCAGAUGCAUAUUUCUUCCCCCCUUUCCAGCCAUCAUUACUUCCCAGAACCAAAGGAGGGCCUGCAAUUCCCAGUAAGCUCCCACCAAGGCGGGCUAGACUUGUUGUCUACAAUAAAAAAUCUAAUGAGACAAGUUUAUGGAUUGUUCAGCUCACUCAGGUACAUGCAACAACUCGAGGUGGACACCAUAGGGGAAAGGUCAUCUCUUCAGCAGUUGUCCCAGAUGUUCAGCCACCAAUGGAUGCAGUGGAAUAUGCUGAAUGCGAAGCUGUUGUAAAAGAUUAUCCUCCAUUUGUGGAAGCAAUGAAGAAGAGGGGGAUUGAUGAUAUGGAUCUUGUGAUGGUCGAUGCUUGGUGUGUUGGUUAUCACAGUGAAGCUGAUGCUCCUGGACGCAGACUUGCAAAACCGCUAAUAUUUUGUAGAACGGAGAGUGACUGUCCAAUGGAAAAUGGUUAUGCACGACCUGUUGAAGGAAUUCAUGUACUUGUUGAUAUGCAAAAUAUGGUGGUCGUUGAAUUUGAAGACCGUAAACUUGUUCCCUUACCUCCUGCUGAUCCACUAAGGAAUUAUACUCCUGGUGAGACAAGAGGAGGAGUUGACCGGAGUGAUGUGAAACCCCUACAUAUCAAUCAGCCUGAGGGUCCAAGUUUUCGCGUAAAUGGACACUAUGUAGAAUGGCAAAAGUGGAACUUUCGUGUUGGUUUCACUCCUAGAGAGGGGUUAGUUAUACAUUCUGUUGCAUAUGUUGAUGGUAGUCGUGGUAGAAGACCCAUAGCCCAUAGGUUGAGUUUUGUGGAGAUGGUUGUGCCAUAUGGGGAUCCAAAUGAUCCACAUUACAGAAAGAAUGCAUUUGAUGCUGGGGAAGAUGGCCUUGGGAAAAAUGCUCAUUCUCUGAAAAAGGGAUGUGAUUGCUUAGGAUUUAUUAAGUACUUCGAUGCCCAUUUUACAAAUUUCACUGGAGGUGUUGAAACCAUUGAAAAUUGUGUUUGCUUGCAUGAAGAAGAUCAUGGGAUCUUAUGGAAGCAUCAGGAUUGGAGAACCGGACUGGCAGAAGUUCGAAGAUCUAGACGCCUCACAGUUUCUUUUAUUUGCACAGUAGCUAAUUAUGAGUAUGGAUUUUAUUGGCAUUUUUAUCAGGAUGGAAAAAUUGAAGCAGAAGUUAAACUCACUGGAAUUCUUAGUUUAGGAGCACUGCAACCAGGAGAAUCUCGAAAAUAUGGCACAACAAUUGCUCCAGGUUUGUAUGCUCCUGUUCAUCAACACUUUUUUGUUGCUCGCAUGGAUAUGGCAGUUGACUGCAAGCCUGGAGAAGCCCACAAUCAGGUUGUUGAAGUAAAUGUCAGAGUUGAAGAACCUGGGAAAGAUAAUGUGCACAACAAUGCAUUUUAUGCUGAAGAAACUUUACUCAGAUCUGAACUAGAAGCAAUGCGAGAUAUUGAUCCUUUCUCUGCCCGCCAUUGGAUUAUCAGGAACACGAGAACAGUGAAUAGGACUGGGCAACUCACUGGUUACAAAUUAGUACCUGGUUCAAACUGUCUGCCAAUGGCUGGUCCUGAGGCUAAAUUCCUGAGAAGAGCUGCAUUUUUGAAGCACAAUCUAUGGGUUACACAAUAUGCACGUGGAGAGGACUUUCCUGGAGGAGAGUUUCCUAAUCAGAACCCACGUGUUGGUGAGGGAUUGGAUUCAUGGGUUAAGCAAAAUCGUUCUCUUGAAGAAACUGAUAUUGUUCUGUGCACUUAAACUACUGUGUUCUUGCCGGUACGUUUUUGGUAUCACACAUGUUCCACGUUUGGAAGAUUGGCCUGUUAUGCCUGUCGAGCGCAUUGGUUUUUUGCUUCAGCCACACGGGUUUUUUAACUGCUCUCCUGCGGUCGAUGUUCCACCUGGUGCAUGCGAGAUGGAUGGCAAAGAUAACGAUGUCAAAGAGAGCAGCCUAGCAAAGCCAAUCCCAACUGGUCUAGUGGCCAAACUCUGAGGAAUACUUCUUUCUGUAUGAAACAGUUCCUCAUGGCUAUGCUGCAGAGUGACAGUCCUGUCCUGUCACUCCUCGCUUAGAAGCUAUUGUUUGGAAUACAGUUAAGUUUUCGCUAUGGUUUUAAGUACUGCUGAACGCAAUGGAUUGUGUACUGUUUUCUUGAGAUUCUGAGCCAAAAAACUGCUGUUUACCUUUCGCUAGUUCCCUUGGCCUGCUUGGUUUGUCCUUGUUGCAUAGGAAUUUGCAGGUUGUGCUGUGAAGUCCAAGAGUUUGAAUUUUAUAUAAACCAGGAUAUUAUUUUCCUGUCUUCGUACUGUGGAGAUUUGAAUGAUUUAAAGAGUUGGAAUCUUGUGUGAUUUUGUUUUU